rnacentral:rRNA from 1 species
AGAGUUUGAUCCUGGCUCAGGAUGAACGCUGGCGGCGUGCUUAACACAUGCAAGUCGAACGAAGCGGUUUAGCGGAAGUUUUCGGAUGGAAGUUAAACUGACUGAGUGGCGGACGGGUGAGUAACGCGUGGGUAACCUGCCUCACACAGGGGGACAACAGCUAGAAAUGGCUGCUAAUACCGCAUAAGCGCACAGCUUCGCAUGAAGCAGUGUGAAAAACUCCGGUGGUGUGAGAUGGACCCGCGUCUGAUUAGCUAGUUGGUGAGGUAACGGCUCACCAAGGCGACGAUCAGUAGCCGACCUGAGAGGGUGACCGGCCACAUUGGGACUGAGACACGGCCCAAACUCCUACGGGAGGCAGCAGUGGGGAAUAUUGCACAAUGGGGGAAACCCUGAUGCAGCGACGCCGCGUGAGUGAAGAAGUAUUUCGGUAUGUAAAGUUCUUUUAUCAGGGAAGAAAAUAAAUUGACGGUACCUGAUGAAUAAGCUCCGGCUAACUACGUGCCAGCAGCCGCGGUAAUACGUAGGGAGCGAGCGUUAUCCGGAAUUAUUGGGCGUAAAGGGUGCGUAGAUGGCAUAUAAAGUCUAUUGUAAAAGUGCUAGGCUCAACCUAGUGAGGCAAUAGAAACUAAUAAGCUAGAGUACAGAAGAGGCAAGUGGAAUUCCAUGUGUAGCGGUAAAAUGCGUAAAUAUAUGGAGGAACACCAGUGGCGAAGGCGGCUUGCUGGUCUGAUACUGACAUUGAGGCACGAAAGCGUGGGGAGCAAACAGGAUUAGAUACCCUGGUAGUCCACGCCCUAAACGAUGAGUACUAAGGGUAGCCGUAAGGCUGUGCUGAAAGUAACGCAUUAAGUACUCCGCCUGAGUAGUACGUACGCAAGUAUGAAACUUAAAGGAAUUGACGAAAGCCCGCACAAGCGUUGGAGCAUGUUGUUUAAUUCGACGAUACGCGAAGAACCUUACCAGGUCUUGACAUCUGAUGCAAAGUUAUAGAGAUAUAAUGGAGGUUAGCAUCAAGACAGGUGGUGCAUGGUUGUCGUCAGCUCGUGUCGUGAGAUGUUGGGUUAAGUCCCGCAACGAGCGCAACCCUUAUUUCUAGUUACCAUCAUUAAGUUGGGGACUCUAGAGAGACUGCCAUUGAUAAAAUGGAGGAAGGUGGGGAUGACGUCAAAUCAUCAUGCCCUAUAUGACCUGGGCUACAAACGUGCUACAAUGGCUGGAACAAAGAGAAGCAAAACCGCGAGGUAGAGCGAACCUCAAAAAAACAGUCUCAGUUCGGAUUGAAGUCUGCAACUCGACUUCAUGAAGUUGGAAUCGCUAGUAAUCGCGAAUCAGAAUGUCGCGGUGAAUACGUUCCCGGGCUUUGCACACACCGCCCGUCA